GGCGGCAGCCGCGGGAAGGGGGCCGCGGGCCGGGGCAGCCGCCGGAGCCCCCCGGAGCGGACGCGCGCUCAGCCCCGCGAUCGCUCUGGCCGAGCUGCGCCGGGCGCGGGCGGGCGAGUGAGGAGGAGCCGGCGAGCGAGCGAGCGAACGAGCGAGGAGCGGGCGGGAGGAGGGAGGGGGCUGGGGCCGACUCGGUGCCGAGCGAGCGCGGGCAGGAAGGGAGGGGGCGGGCGGGCCCCGGGUGCCAGCCUCCUCCCCUGGCCGCCGGCCCGUCGGCCCUGCAAAGUUUGACGCCGGUUCCCCUGGCGUCCUGGGGGCCGAGCGUUUCCUCUCGUUGGAUGCUCCGGCAGCCCUCCGCGGGCACGGCCAAGCUGAAGAGCGUCCGGACCAUUUCCCAGACGGUACGUUCCUGAGCCCUAGAGCGCAUCACAAUCUAUGCUGAAGUCACUUGGCCAGGAUUCAAUGCCAAGUCUGAGUCCAGAGAUCAGAACCCACUGCAUCUCAACAGGCUGUUUGCCAGGGAUCAUAAUUAACCAGGGGAUUGACUCAGAGUGCUACAGGAAGUCUAUACUCAGCAAUUACUCUCGCCGACAACAUACAAUAUAGGAAGUGUCCAUUUUUAUUCACAGUCCUGCCCCGUCCAAACCCAGCAUCAGUUUCUCCCCUAGGAACAUCUGGUAUUGGAAAAGUCUUUAUCACUGGGGGAAAAAAAAAGAGAAAAAAAUCUGUUGUUUUGGAGUCAAAAUAGGAUAGGAAGGAGAC
ensembl:lncRNA